CGAGCGAGCGCGGCUGCGGCUGCGGAGGGGACCUGGCGGGGACCUGGGGACCUGGGCACCUGGGGACCUGGGCGCCCCCGCGGCGGAGGGAGGGGACCGAGAGCCUCUUGAGGCUCGGCCGGAAAGAGGAACAGCCACCAACCUGAAAAAGCCACUUCUGUCGCCAAGGCUGAGCUUCCUGGCUGGUAAAUCAAAAUAAGGAGAGCGGCCACGGCCCCAGCGCGGCGCCCAGCCCCAGGAAGCCCCGCCCGGGCUUAGCUCUUACCAGUCAGGGUCACGCCGCAGAAAGGAAACGAGGGGAGCCCAUGCGGCCCUCUCUAACUGCCACUUCCUUUUCCAAGUUCCCAAGCCACCUGCUAAAUAACCCACUUAUGAAUGUUCCUGGGCACCGACGUCAAUCCCUCUGGUCUGUGGUCUCUAGAAUCUCUUUAAAAGUCUCCGGACACCCCGCGUCUGGCUGCCAGCACACCACCCGGUUUGCCAAGGACCUUCAUAAAAUAAGGCUCCUGAAACUGCACGUGGACCUUCAGGCAAGCUCUGGCAGAGCCGGGCGGCAGCCUGAGGCCCCUGGGGCCCAGCACAGCCUUGCAGCUAGGUCGUGAAUUAGCAGCAGAGGCCAGAGAAGAGGCAGGUCUCCGCCCCACAAGGACAACCGGCUUCCCCUGCAGCACCCUGUGGUCCAGCGUCCUGUAGUCUAGCAGCAUCUGCAUGUCAAUGGAUUUGUCCUGCUCAGAGUCUGUCUCCUGCUCACCCUCCUUAUUCUGAUCACCCUUGCCGAGGGUUGGGAUACCAAGCCACCCCAGCAACCAGGAAUCUUGAUUGACAACACACCAAAAACACCUGGGAUGAGACAGAGCAAUUCCCUCAAAGGACUAGAAAGAACAGGGAAAAUCUGUACAUAUCAUCUAAUUAAAUGAAACUAAUUAUGCUUCAUCUUGGUUGAUACAAUUAAUUGUUAGCGAGUUUUGCUUCAGCCAUUUUCCCUAAUGGAUAAGACUUGGGCUUGAUGGGCUCUUUCCUUUAGGUCUCUUAGCCACCGCAAGUGACAGGUUAUUGCUUCGCUGGGAUGAUGCCUGGCCUGUCGAUGGCAGGUUGUUCAUUCCCAGGAUCUGCUUAUUCACGCCCACGGAUGACUGAGCUCAUGGGUUACGUACGCUCCUGAACUCCCUGCAGGAUGAUCUCCUAACAAUGCUGUCACCCAUAGGUACAGCAUUUCGACUCAAACUGAAAUCCAAGUUUCCGUUUCCUCCAACUUUGGACCUCUCAUCUGUUUUACUGGCUUGUCUUUGGGUGGAGGAGCUCUUGUGGGAGGCACCCUCUUUUAACUGACAGAUGAUUGGAAGGACACGUGCAGACCUCACUUGUGUUUAUCCACUUGUUCUGAGGAGCACUCACCAAAUUCCCUUUUCUAAACUGGACAUCAUUGAGAACAAGAAAACACAUUCCCAACCUUCCAGAAAGUGGGAACUUUUUAAAAUCAGUUUGGGCAAAGAGUAUCUGGGGAGAGAAACCACAAUAAAUACCUGCGUAUAAUUAA